CAUGAAGCUGGAAUCGCUAGUAAUCGCGGAUCAGAAUGCCGCGGUGAAUACGUUCCCGGGUCUUGUACACACCGCCCGUCACACCAUGGGAGUCGGAAAUGCCCGAAGUCUGUGACCCAACCUUAGGGAGGGAGCAGCCGAAGGCAGGUCGGACGACUGGGGUGAAGUCGUAACAAGGUACC
rnacentral:rRNA from 1 species